GACGAACGCUGGCGGCGUGCCUAAUACAUGCAAGUAGAACGCUGAAGAGAGGAGCUUGCUCUUCUUGGAUGAGUUGCGAACGGGUGAGUAACGCGUAGGUAACCUGCCUUGUAGCGGGGGAUAACUAUUGGAAACGAUAGCUAAUACCGCAUAACAAUGGAUGACACAUGUCAUUUAUUUGAAAGGGGCAAUUGCUCCACUACAAGAUGGACCUGCGUUGUAUUAGCUAGUAGGUGAGGUAAUGGCUCACCUAGGCGACGACACAUAGCCGACUUGAGAGGGUGAUCGGCCACACUGGGACUGAGACACGGCCCAGACUCCUACGGGAGGCAGCAGUAGGGAAUCUUCGGCAAUGGGGGCAACCCUGACCGAGCAACGCCGCGUGAGUGAAGAAGGUUUUCGGAUCGUAAAGCUCUGUUGUAAGUCAAGAACGGGUGUGAGAGUGGAAAGUUCACACUGUGACGGUAGCUUACCAGAAAGGGACGGCUAACUACGUG
rnacentral:rRNA from 1 species